rnacentral:snRNA from 1 species
GAGAGGAAAACGGUGAGUUUGGAGUAAAAUAGGCAAGAUAAUAAAGGUAUUUGUUUUCAAUUCUGUCUAAAGUUACCGUUUUUUGCUCUGGGUUUAAGAAUUAAUUGUUGAGCUAUAAGCAAAUUACCUCAUUGAUGAAAGUUUAAGAGGAUAGA